GCCAGGCGUGGUGGUGCAUGCCUGUAAUCCCAGCUACUCUGGAGGCUGAGACGGGAGGAUAGCUUGAGCCCAGGAGGUGGAGGUUGCAGUGAGCCAUGAUCAGGCCACUGCACUGCAGCCUGGACAACAGAGUGAGAUCUUGUCUCUA
rnacentral:SRP_RNA from 1 species